UACGUAGGGUCCGAGCGUUAAUCGGAAUUACUGGGCGUAAAGAGCGCGCAGGCGGUCGUUCAAGUCGCGUGUGAAAGCCCCCGGCUCAACUGGGGAGGGUCACGCGAUACUGAUCGACUGGAAGGCAGGAGAGGGUAGUGGAAUUCCCGGUGUAGUGGUGAAAUGCGUAGAUAUCGGGAGGAACACCAGUGGCGAAGGCGACUACCUGGCCUGUUCUUGACGCUGAGGCGCGAAAGCUAGGGGAGCAAACGGG
rnacentral:rRNA from 1 species